GGGACAGUAGUCAAACCUGGUUACGAUACUAGACUGUCACUUUAGUGGUUCGGGUUCAAAUCCCGACUGUCUCGCCA
rnacentral:tRNA from 1 species